GGAUCGGUUUAGUAUAAUAUUAAUAUGAUAAAUUGUAAAUUUAUAGCUAGAUUAGUUUCUAACCGAGAUGUCAAG
rnacentral:tRNA from 1 species